UGAAAUUAAUAAGAUUAAUCAUGAAUUUUCAGGUUCGCAUUUUACGAGCAACCGCGUCGCUUUUCCAUUUUCUCAGGUCACUCUUACUCAUGUUGUAUAAUCUUUACCCUUUUUACAUUUUUUUUUAUAUCUGGCGUCGGAACCGUCUUUCGUGUAACAAUGUCAUCAUUCUUAUGAUCUAACAGAAAAACGGAUGUAGAGAACGGUAUUACGGGGAAAGGACCAAGAAUCGAAUAUGACAUAUUUAGUAAAGCUUUAAUGGCCGAGGUCAUUGUUCUGAUCUCCGUGAUGGAUUACUAUCAACUGAAGAAGAGACGUCAACAAAACACGGUCGAUAGCGGUUUAGUCACCGGUGUCGACGACAAAACGACCUAUACAAUGGACCAAAGGAAGAACUAAAAUUGCUAGAGUUGCUAAUCAUCAUGCCAUGCCUUAUUCAUACUCA
rnacentral:lncRNA from 1 species